rnacentral:rRNA from 1 species
UACGUAGGGGGCUAGCGUUGUCCGGAAUCAUUGGGCGUAAAGAGCGCGUAGGCGGUCCGGUAAGUCCGCUGUGAAAGUCGGGGGCUCAACCCUCGAAUGCCGGUGGAUACUGUCGGGCUAGAGUGCGGGAGAGGCGAGUGGAAUUCCUGGUGUAGCGGUGAAAUGCGUAGAUAUCGGGAGGAACACCAGUGGCGAAGGCGACUACCUGGCCUGUUCUUGACGCUGAGGCGCGAAAGCUAGGGGAGCAAACGGG